rnacentral:rRNA from 1 species
UACGUAGGUGGCGAGCGUUGUCCGGAUUUACUGGGCGUAAAGAGCGCGCAGGCGGUCGUGCAAGUCGCGUGUGAAAGCCCCCGGCUCAACUGGGGAGGGUCACGCGAUACUGCUCGACUCGAAGGCAGGAGAGGGUAGUGGAAUUCCCGGUGUAGUGGUGAAAUGCGUAGAUAUCGGGAGGAACACCAGUGGCGAAGGCGACUACCUGGCCUGUUCUUGACGCUGAGGCGCGAAAGCUAGGGGAGCAAAGCGGG